rnacentral:rRNA from 1 species
UACGGAGGGGGCGAGCGUUAUUCGGAAUUAUUGGGCGUAAAGGGCGCGUAGGCGGCUAGACAAGUCAAAGGUGAAAUCCCUCGGCUCAACUGAGGAACUGCCUUUGAAACUGUCUGGCUUGAGGCCGGGAGGGGGUAGCGGAAUUCCCAGUGUAGCGGUGAAAUGCGUAGAUAUUGGGAGGAACACCAGUGGCGAAGGCGGCUACCUGGACCGGUUCUGACGCUGAUGCGCGAAAGCGUGGGUAGCAAACAGG